UGAUACGCUUGUCUCAAAGAUUAAGCCAUGCAUGUCUGAGUACAUACUGCACGAAAAGUGAAACCGCGAAUGGCUCAUUAAAUCAGUUAUGGUUCCUUAGAGCUAGUACUUGACAUGGAUAACUUUGGCAAACUGGAGCUAAUACAUGCAGCAAAAGCUGGGCUGUUUCGACGCAGACCAGUGCACUUAUUAGAUCAAAACCAAUAGCUUUUGAUGACUCUGGAUAAGACUGCCAACCAUUUAGUGCUUUGUCACGAUGGUGUAUCUUUCAAAUGUCUGCCCUAUCAAUUGCUGAUGGUAGGUUAUUCGCCUACCAUGAUUGUAACGGGUAACGGAGAAUCAGGGUUUGAUUCCGGAGAGGGAGCCUGAGAAAUGGCUGCCACAUCUAAGGAAGGCAGCAGGCGCGUAAAUUACCCACUCCUUGAAAAGGGAGGUAGUGACGAGAAAUUACAAUGCUGGGCAUAUGUUUGUUCAGUGAUUGUCUUGAGUGCUCUUUAAAACGUGGCUCAAGGAUCUAUUGGAGGGCAAGUCUGGUGCCAGCAGCCGCGGUAAUUCCAGCUCCAAUAGCGUAUAUUAAAGUUGUUGCGGCUAAAAAGCUCGUAGUUGGAUCUCAGGUUUGACAUGCAGCUCAUGUUGUGUGGGUACUGCAUGGAGAAUCUUAGUUCAUGUGCAGGCCUUGCUGCUCUUUGUUGGGUGGCUUGGCUGCCUUGAAGUUUUACUUUGAAGAAAGGAGCGUGCUUGAAACAAGCAGUGCAUAGCUUGAAUCUUAGUGCAUGGAAUAAUGGAAUAGGAACUCCGGUUCUAUUUUGUUGGUUUUAAGAGCCAGUUAAUGGUUAAUAGAGACAGGCGGGGGCAUUUGUACUGCGGCGUUAGAGGUGAAAUUCUUGGAUCGUCGCAAGACAAACUACAGCGAAAGCAUUUGCCAAGAAUGUCUUCAUUAAUCAAGAACGAAAGUCGGAGGUUCGAAGGGGAUCAGAUACCCCCCUAGUUCUGACCAUAAACGAUGCCAACUAGCUGCCAGUCAGUGUUAUCAACUGACCUGACUGGAAGCUCUCGGGAAGCCCAAGUAUUUGGGUUCCGGGGAAAGUAUGGUUGCAAAGCUGAAAUUUAAAGGAAUUGACGGAAGGGCACCACCAGGAGUGGAGCCUGCGGCUUAAUUUGACUCAACACGGGAAAACUCACCUGGACCUGACACUGUUAGGAUUGACAGACUGAGAGCUCUUUCUUGAUUCGGUGGAUGGUGGUGCAUGGCCGUUCUUAGUUGGUGGAGUGAUUUGUCUGAUUAAUUUCGAUAACGAACGAGACUCUAGUCUGCUAACUAGCCUUGCUGGUUGCCUUGUUGCAAUGCAGCAUGCUUCUUAGAGGAACUGGUGGUUUUGAAGCCACACGAAGUUGAGCAAUAACAGGUCUGUGAUGCCCUUAGAUGUUCAGGGCUGCACGCGCGCUACAAUGGAGGGAUCAACAUGUUUCCUGCUCUGCAAAGAGUGGGCAAUCAUGUGAAUUGCCUUCAUGACUGGGAUAGAAAAUUGCAAUUGUUUUUCUUGAACGAGGAAUUCCCAGUAAGCGCAAGUCAUAAGCUUGUGUUGAUUACGUCCCUGCCCUUUGUACACACCGCCCGUCGCUAGUAGCGAUUGAUGGCUUAGCGAGGAUAUUGGAUCGGCUAGGCUGCGUGCUUGGCUGAGAAGAAAUUCUAGCUAUGCUAUUGAGAGCAACUAAAAGUCGUAACAAGGUAUCC
rnacentral:rRNA from 1 species